GGGCGUAUGGUCUAGAGGUAUGAUACCUGCUUUGGGUGCUUGAGAGAGCAGAAUCCUUUGCAGGGGGUCUUCGGUUCGAAUCCGGAUUCGCCCC